rnacentral:rRNA from 1 species
GACGGAGGGGGCUAGCGUUGUUCGGAAUUACUGGGCGUAAAGAGUGCGUAGGCGGUUCGGUAAGACAGUGGUUAAAGGUCCAUGCUCAACAUGGAACAUGCCGUUGUUACUGCCAAACUAGACGAUAGCAGGGGCAAGCAGAAUUCUCGGUGUAGGGGUGAAAUCCGUUGAGAUCGAGAGGAAUACCAAUGGCGAAGGCAGCUUGCUAGGCUAUAUGUGACGCUGAGGCACGAAAGCGUGGGGAGCGAACGGG